AACUUUUGGCAACGGAUCUCUUGGUUCUGGCAUCGAUGAAGAACACAGCGAAAUGCGAUAAGUAAUGUGAAUUGCAGAAUUCAGUGAAUCAUCGAAUCUUUGAACGCACAUUGCGCUCCCUGGUAUUCCGGGGAGCAUGCCUGUCCGAGCGUCAUUACAACCCUCAAGCUCUGCUUGGUGUUGGGUCCCGCCGCCCCGGCGGGCCCUAAAGUCAGUGGCGGUGCCGUCCGGCUCCGAGCGUAGUAAUUCUUCUCGCUCUGGAGGCCCGGCCGUGUGCCCGCCAGCAACCCCCAAAUUUUUUCAGGUUGACCUCGGAUCAGGUAGGGAUACCCGCUGAAUUUAAGCAUAUCAAUAAGCGGAGGCU
rnacentral:misc_RNA from 1 species